rnacentral:rRNA from 1 species
UGCUCAGGACGAACGCUGGCGGCGUGCUUAACACAUGCAAGUCGAACGCUGAAGCUUGGUGCUUGCACUGGGUGGAUGAGUGGCGAACGGGUGAGUAAUACGUGAGUAACCUGCCCUUGACUCUGGGAUAAGCCUGGGAAACUGGGUCUAAUACUGGAUACGACAUGUCACCGCAUGGUGGUGUGUGGAAAGGGUUUUACUGGUUUUGGAUGGGCUCACGGCCUAUCAGCUUGUUGGUGGGGUAAUGGCUCACCAAGGCGACGACGGGUAGCCGGCCUGAGAGGGUGACCGGCCACACUGGGACUGAGACACGGCCCAGACUCCUACGGGAGGCAGCAGUGGGGAAUAUUGCACAAUGGGCGGAAGCCUGAUGCAGCGACGCCGCGUGAGGGAUGACGGCCUUCGGGUUGUAAACCUCUUUCAGCACGGAAGAAGCGAAAGUGACGGUACGUGCAGAAGAAGCGCCGGCUAACUACGUGCCAGCAGCCGCGGUAAUACGUAGGGCGCAAGCGUUGUCCGGAAUUAUUGGGCGUAAAGAGCUCGUAGGCGGUUUGUCGCGUCUGCUGUGAAAGCCCGGGGCUUAACCCCGGGUGUGCAGUGGGUACGGGCAGACUUGAGUGCAGUAGGGGAGACUGGAAUUCCUGGUGUAGCGGUGAAAUGCGCAGAUAUCAGGAGGAACACCGAUGGCGAAGGCAGGUCUCUGGGCUGUUACUGACGCUGAGGAGCGAAAGCAUGGGGAGCGAACAGGAUUAGAUACCCUGGUAGUCCAUGCCGUAAACGUUGGGCACUAGGUGUGGGGAACAUUCCACGUUUCCGCGCCGUAGCUAACGCAUUAAGUGCCCCGCCU